rnacentral:rRNA from 1 species
AGCAGCUGCGGUAAUUCCAGCUCCAAUAGCGUAUAUUAAAGUUGUUGCAGUUAAAAAGCUCGUAGUUGAAUUUUGGAUUCUGCCAGUUGGUCCAUCUUUUGAUGAGUACUGAUUGUGUGGGGUCUAUCCGCCUGGUGAUACGUAAUGUACUUUAUUGUAUGUUACGGGUAGUCAGGACCUUUACCUUGAAAAAAUUAGAGUGUUUAAAGCAGGCUUAUGCCGGAAUACAUUAGCAUGGAAUAAUAGAAUAGGACGAAGUUGUUUUAUUUUGUUGGUUUCUAGGACAACCGUAAUGAUUAAUAGGGAUAGUUGGGGGCAUUAGUAUUCAAUUGUCAGAGGUGAAAUUCUUGGAUUUAUUGAAGACUAACUACUGCGAAAGCAUUUGCCAAGGAUGUUUUCAUUAAUCAAGAACGAAAGUUAGGGGAUCGAAGACGAUCAGAUACCGUCGUAGUCUUAACCAUAAACUAUGCCGACUAGGGAUCGGGCGAUGUUGUUUCCAUGACUCGCUCGGCACCUUAUG